AGAUGAUUAGUUUAACUAAAACAUUUGAUUUCGGCUUAAAAACACGUGGUUAGAGUCCACGAUCAUCAU
rnacentral:tRNA from 1 species